rnacentral:rRNA from 1 species
UACGUAGGGGGCAAGCGUUGUCCGGAAUCACUGGGCUUAAAGGGCGCGUAGGCGGGCUGUCAAGUCUGGGGUGAAAUCCCGCGGCUCAACCGCGGAACUGCCUCAGAUACUGACGGUCUCGAGGGGGGUAGGGGCGAGCGGAACUAAUGGUGGAGCGGUGAAAUGCGUUGAUAUCAUUAGGAACUCCGGUGGCGAAGGCGGCUCGCUGGACCUCUUCUGACGCUGAGGCGCGAAAGCUAGGGGAGCAAACGGG